ensembl:lncRNA
GUUGGCAACAUUUUCCCCUUUAAAAAAAAAAAAGAGAGAGAGAGAGAAAACUUCUUUACAUAAUCUGUAUUAUCACAUACAUUUGUAAGCAAUAUAUAGUCCAUGACUUCAUAACAGCAGGUAAAGGAGACCUUUAAGAUCUGGUACUCUUUUGACAGCAACUCUUAAGAUGCUUCUGUAUGUUGCAGGUAUGAAAUAUUCCUUUGAGGAAGCAGCGUGCUGCCCACUGGAGACUUUGUGUGUAAGUGAAAAUUGUGAGAUCUACUGGAGUAUGGGAAAGGAUGCCUUUAUGUUUCAAGUGGGCAGGAAGUUCAGAGAAGAAAGCAGGAGAGAAGAGAUUCAGGAUCGUAUCAGCUCUCCUAAGUAGCAGUUCACCAGCACAAUCAGUGGAUGUAUUACUCAUAGACAGCCUUGCAUGCAGGUAUGCCAAGAGGGAUCCCAGCUUGCACGAAAGCUACCACUCUAUCUGGGCCUCACAAAGAAUGUUUUGGCUUUGGGAUGAAGAAGUAUCUCAAAGAGAUGAGGGUCCUUCUGAAUCUGUGUUUUCCAAGCACCCAUUUCACUGCUGCUGUGAGGACACCUCGCCACUCUCAGCAUUGUGGGCGUUGUGCUUCUAAUUGGUACAUUGUGAAGAAAAUGGCUGCUGCCGCAAUGGAGAAAACAUGGUGAUACACAGCAAAGUAUUCUCCACCUGAGCCACUGCUCUCUCAUGCACAGAGCUAUAGGAGAUAAACAGUAAAGGCCUCUUUCUUCAAAUAGCUAUGAGUGUGAGUGUUUCCAGAGGAGCUGGAUUCCAUCUCCUGGGGAAAGGAUGUCCUGAAGGACCCAUGAUUCUGCACUUCUGAAGAAAUUUGAGAAAGAUGCAAAGCACUGCACCUGACACAUUUUGUUUCUCACAGUGCAAAGUCACUGAAAGAGUCCAAACUUGUCCUGCAACUUGGAAAAUAUUACCAUUUUUCCCCCUUUUACCAGCUU